GUGGGGAAUCUUGCGCAAUGGGCGAAAGCCUGACGCAGCCAUGCCGCGUGAAUGAUGAAGGUCUUAGGAUUGUAAAAUUCUUUCACCGGGGACGAUAAUGACGGUACCCGGAGAAGAAGCUCCGGCUAACUUCGUGCCAGCAGCCGCGGUAAUACGAAGGGGGCUAGCGUUGCUCGGAAUUACUGGGCGUAAAGGGCGCGUAGGCGGACAGCUUAGUCAGAGGUGAAAGCCCAGGGCUCAACCUUGGAAUUGCCUUUGAUACUGGCGGGCUUGAGUGUGGGAGAGGUGAGUGGAACUCCGAGUGUAGAGGUGAAAUUCGUAGAUAUUCGGAAGAACACCAGUGGCGAAGGCGACUCACUGGCCCAAUACUGACGCUGAGGCGCGAAAGCGUGGGGAGCAAACAGGAUUAGAAACCCGGGUAGUCC
rnacentral:rRNA from 1 species